rnacentral:rRNA from 1 species
GAUGAACGCUGGCGGCGUGCCUAAUACAUGCAAGUCGAGCGAACAGACGAGGAGCUUGCUCCUCUGACGUUAGCGGCGGACGGGUGAGUAACACGUGGAUAACCUACCUAUAAGACUGGGAUAACUUCGGGAAACCGGAGCUAAUACCGGAUAAUAUAUUGAACCGCAUGGUUCAAUAGUGAAAGACGGUUUUGCUGUCACUUAUAGAUGGAUCCGCGCUGCAUUAGCUAGUUGGUAAGGUAACGGCUUACCAAGGCAACGAUGCGUAGCCGACCUGAGAGGGUGAUCGGCCACACUGGAACUGAGACACGGUCCAGACUCCUACGGGAGGCAGCAGUAGGGAAUCUUCCGCAAUGGGCGAAAGCCUGACGGAGCAACGCCGCGUGAGUGAUGAAGGUCUUCGGAUCGUAAAACUCUGUUAUUAGGGAAGAACAAAUGUGUAAGUAACUGUGCACGUCUUGACGGUACCUAAUCAGAAAGCCACGGCUAACUAUGUG